rnacentral:misc_RNA from 1 species
CCGAGUUUUCAACUCCCAAACCCACUGUGAACUUAUACCUUUAUCGUUGCUUCGGCGGGUCUCGGCCCCGGCGCUGCCGCUCCCCUUGCCGGGAGGGGUAAGCCGGACAACACGGCCCCCGCCGGAGGACCCAAACUCUUGAAUUUUUCCGCGGACUGGCUUCGCGGCAGUUUGUAUUCUGAUUACUUCAAAACAAAAAUGAAUCA